GAUGAACGCUGGCGGCGUGCCUAAUACAUGCAAGUCGAGCGAACAGAUAAGGAGCUUGCUCCUUUGACGUUAGCGGCGGACGGGUGAGUAACACGUGGAUAACCUACCUAUAAGACUGGGAUAACUUCGGGAAACCGGAGCUAAUACCGGAUAACAUAUUGAACCGCAUGGUUCAAUAGUGAAAGGCGGCUUUGCUGUCACUUAUAGAUGGAUCCGCGCCGUAUUAGCUAGUUGGUAAGGUAACGGCUUACCAAGGCAACGAUACGUAGCCGACCUGAGAGGGUGAUCGGCCACACUGGAACUGAGACACGGUCCAGACUCCUACGGGAGGCAGCAGUAGGGAAUCUUCCGCAAUGGGCGAAAGCCUGACGGAGCAACGCCGCGUGAGUGAUGAAGGUCUUCGGAUCGUAAAACUCUGUUAUCAGGGAAGAACAAAUGUGUAAGUAACUGUGCAC
rnacentral:rRNA from 1 species